rnacentral:rRNA from 1 species
GACGAACGCUGGCGGCGUGCCUAAUACAUGCAAGUUGAGCGCUGAAGGUUGGUACUUGUACCAACUGGAUGAGCAGCGAACGGGUGAGUAACGCGUGGGGAAUCUGCCUUUGAGCGGGGGACAACAUUUGGAAACGAAUGCUAAUACCGCAUAAAAACUUUAAACACAAGUUUUAAGUUUGAAAGAUGCAAUUGCAUCACUCAAAGAUGAUCCCGCGUUGUAUUAGCUAGUUGGUGAGGUAAAGGCGCACCAAGGCGAUGAUACAUAGCCGACCUGAGAGGGUGAUCGGCCACAUUGGGACGGAGACACGGCCCAAACUCCUACGGGAGGCAGCAGUAGGGAAUCUUCGGCAAUGGACGAAAGUCUGACCGAGCAACGCCGCGUGAGGGAAGAAGGUUGUCGGGUCGUAAAACUCUGUUGGUAGAGAAGAACGUUGGUGAGAGUGGAAAGCUCAUCAAGUGACGGUAACUACCCAGAAAGGGACGGCUAACUACGUG